AUUGAACGCUGGCGGCAUGCCUUACACAUGCAAGUCGAACGGCAGCACGGGUGCUUGCACCUGGUGGCGAGUGGCGAACGGGUGAGUAAUACAUCGGAACGUACCUUAUCGUGGGGGAUAACGCAGCGAAAGCUGUGCUAAUACCGCAUACGCCCUGAGGGGGAAAGCGGGGGAUCGCAAGACCUCGCGCGAUUAGAGCGGCCGAUGCCUGAUUAGCUAGUUGGUGGGGUAAAAGCCCACCAAGGCGACGAUCAGUAGCUGGUCUGAGAGGACGAUCAGCCACACUGGGACUGAGACACGGCCCAGACUCCUACGGGAGGCAGCAGUGGGGAAUUUUGGACAAUGGGGGCAACCCUGGUCCAGCAAUGCCGCGUGAGUGAAGAAGGCCUUCGGGCUGUAAAGCUCUUUUGUCAGGGAAGAAACACCGGCUCUAACGCAGUCUGGGAAUGACGGUACCUGAAGAAUAAGCACCGGCUAACUACGUGCCAGCCGCCGCGGUAA
rnacentral:rRNA from 1 species